UCGCACACUUUAGCUGCCAAAAAAAAAGAGCUCCAAUCACUUUUCAACUAUUUUUAAAGCACUUUGCAGCCGCUUCACGCAUAAUCCACCAAAUGUAAGAAGGCAAGAGCCUCCGACGUGUACCUGAACCGGUAACUGAUGCCUCUCAAGAGAUGCUUUGUUCAGCUUUCGACGCGUCUGCCUGGCUGCGUUAACAGUUAAUGGCGAGCCAAACACCGCAGCAACCAACCACCCAACCGACCACCCAACCAACCACUCAACCACUCAACCAAGCAGCGCUGAGCAGCGUCUGGCUUGUCUAUAAAUUUGUAACUUGGCGCUUUUGUUUGCUUUGCCACAACAUCCAACUCAGCUGCCUGCCCCUGCCGAGCGCUGGCUUUUUGGAGUUAAGUGUAAAUUUAUUUUGCGGCCAGGUGGUCAGCUUGUGGACAGGAGGCGC
rnacentral:sRNA from 1 species